CUGCUUGUAUCUCUUUUUAAAUGGAACAUAUUCUCCAUCAAAUUCUUUUAGGAAAUUGCUAGUUAUUAUUUCAAGAAAGAAUGAAGUCUAUGUAUUUCAACUAUAGAUUUGUAGAAGUGGUUCAUAUGCUUCAAAGUUCGAGUAAAUUACAUGAUGAUUAUUUUGAUAGUCUAGUGGAGUCAUUUUGUAGUUGUAUUUAACUUUUGGUUUAGAAAGUAUCAGAAGAAAAUGUAACUCUUGUCUUAUGCCUAGUAAUGAAGUUUUACUUUUGAUUUCUCA